rnacentral:rRNA from 1 species
AGAGUUUGAUUAUGGCUCAGGACGAACGCUGGCGGCGUGCUUAACACAUGCAAGUCGAGCGGUAAGGCCUUUCGGGGUACACGAGCGGCGAACGGGUGAGUAACACGUGGGUGAUCUGCCCUGCACUUCGGGAUAAGCCUGGGAAACUGGGUCUAAUACCGGAUAUGACCUCCUAUCGCAUGGUGGGUGGUGGAAAGAUUUAUCGGUGCAGGAUGGGCCCGCGGCCUAUCAGCUUGUUGGUGGGGUAAUGGCCUACCAAGGCGACGACGGGUAGCCGACCUGAGAGGGUGACCGGCCACACUGGGACUGAGACACGGCCCAGACUCCUACGGGAGGCAGCAGUGGGGAAUAUUGCACAAUGGGCGAAAGCCUGAUGCAGCGACGCCGCGUGAGGGAUGACGGCCUUCGGGUUGUAAACCUCUUUCAGCAGGGACGAAGCGCAAGUGACGGUACCUGCAGAAGAAGCACGGCUAACU